rnacentral:rRNA from 1 species
CGGGAGGCAGCAGUGAGGAAUAUUGGUCAAUGGACGGAAGUCUGAACCAGCCAAGUAGCGUGCAGGAUGACGGCCCUAUGGGUUGUAAACUGCUUUUGUAUGGGGAUAAAGUGAGCGACGUGUAGUUUAUUGCAGGCACCACAUGAAUAAGGACCGGCUAAUUC